UGUCGUGACCCUGGACAACACCCUGUCGUGACCCUGGACAACACCCUGUCGUGACCCUGGACAACACCCUGCUGUUCUCUGCAAACAUCAAAGCAGUGACACACUCCUGCAGGUUCAUGCUCUACAACAGCCGUAGAAUACGACCCUACCUCACACAGGAAGCGGUGCAGGUCCUAAUCCAGGAACUCGUCCUCUCCCGUCUGGACUACUACGACUCGCUGUUGGCUGGGCUCCCCACUCGUGCCAUUAAAUCCCUGCAAUUAUCCAGAACGCUGCAGCCCGCCUGGUUUUCAACCUUCCCAAGUUCUCUCAUGUCACCCCGCACCUCCUCACACUCCAUUGGCUUCCAAUCGAAGCUCCCAUCCACUACAAGACCAUGGUGCUUGCAUACGGAACAACAAGAGGAAUUUCCCUUACCUACAAUCAGGCUAUGCUCAAACCCUACACCCCAACCCGAGCACUCCGUUCUGACACCUCAGGUCUCUUGGCCCUCCCACCCCUACAGGAAGGCAGCUCCCACUCAGCCCAAGUUCUUCUCUGUCCUGGCACCCCAAUGGUAGAAUCAGCAUCUCCCUGAAGCUAGGACAGCAGAGUCCCUGCCCAUCUUCCAAAAACAUCUGAAAUAAUCCUCCUCCUCACCUCAAGGUUUUUGGUGUCCAUUACUGGCCGUUACAGGAAAGCCCCACACAAACCGCCACCAUAGAUUUUUUAACUAACCUGUUCUUGGCGAUCAUUUCUUAAUUCUCGAUUCCAUUUGCAGGUGGUUCUAUAAAAACAAGAAAACUCAGAAAGAUAUUAAAUCCAUGUUUUGUACCCUGCGAGGAGGUUCCUUGCCAUUUUAGCUGCCACACAUCUAACAUUUCCCAGCAUUUUUUCAGGAACUAGUCAUUUCUAUGCGAAGCGUCAACGGCCACGUGUAGAAGUAGAUGACAGCGCGUAACAAAGUGCGACCAAAACAAAGAUCUACACAGAUGGAAGAGGCAUAUCUCACUCCAUACAAAACAUGUAUGUAGUAUCUUUCUGAAUUUUCGUUGCCAAGAACAGGUUAGUUGAAAAAUCUCUGGCGGCGGCUUCUAUGGAGCAUUCCUGGAACGCCCUGUAAUGGACAUUAAAAGUAUCAUCAUUCAUAACUAUCAUCAAUAUGUGCAAACUACAGUUGUUAGUCACCGAGCGUUUCUCGGCGGCUGCUGUGGAGAUAUUCGGGGCCGUGGAGAAGAUCAUAGCGGUGUCAGGAAAAACGAAGGUUACGUACGUAACCACGGUUAUGUGAGCUAUUGAAUCAUUCCAAUAUGGUAUCCUUCAAUAAGGUAUCCCUCCGCGCAGCAGGACACAUUCUGAGUAAGGAUUUCAGUAUUGCUGAGGCUGCGGCGAAACCACUUAAAUAGCUGCCGCUGCACUACUUCCCCCUCGUGUCCUUUUUCGAGGUGCCAUAGAUCACCGACAAAGAGGAUUGGAGUGAUCCGGUAGCACACAUAACCGUGGUUACUGAUAAAAUCAUUUUAAUGUUGAAAGAUAAUGAUUAAAUAAUUCCACUCUGAAACCUUAAAACUGUAUGAAAUUGAUUAGAAUCAUAAAAUUAUAAUCCGAUGAUGUGUGUAGUUUUUGCCGGAAUUAGGUUAAACAAUGUAUCUGUAUAGUGGAAAAACACAGACUGUCUGAGCAAGGCGUAGCUCAGGAUUUGAACUUGUGUGUGUGUGCCGAAGAAAAUACAUAGAACAGUUCAACUGUGUUUGAACCGACCUGGCAGGAACUCUGAGGAACCUAUGAGAGCACAGGGAGUACUUCUCAAGGUUUCCCUAAUCUCGGGGGAGUGGAACUGUCGGCUAGGCAGUGAUACACAGUGAGCGAGAAAGUACAUCACUUCCAGCAGAUCUCCAUGCUGAGGGCGGCGUUGACCAUGCACUGCUUCUCGUGGGGCUUGUCCUGCUGUAGUCUCCACAACCGGAUCACACUGGCACGGGAUGUCCAUGCACUGGAUGGACUGAGGGAUGCACUCCUGUUGGACUGGAAAACAAAGAGACAUGGUCAGUGUCUGGAUCUUCAUCUUCUGCCAUGGUGGAUGAGCUACCUUUUCUGGUAAAUACAGGGGCUUUUCUCAUUCCCACCGGAAAAGGGCAGCUACAAACCCAAGUGUUGUCACUGGGUUUCCAGUCCAUCCCACCUGAAAGACAACAAAAGUUACUUUUACUAGCUAGCUAAAUUGAUUACUGAAAUGAUAUCUACAUUAAAAUACCAUAACCCACAGACUUGACUAUAGUAACAGUAAAAUAGACUGGGCUUUGGUCUAUCUGCACAUCUAAAAUCAUACUAUGUGGAUGGGUUAUUUCUGCUGAGAUGAAGGAAUUAUCUGGAAUGAUCAACUAGAUGAUCAGGACAGUCUAGGUUACUAUUUGCCAGAAGAGGUGAAGUAUUGCAAUGAGCUAUACAACUACUUCUGAUUCUAAUUCUCAAGAGGAAAGUUAAAACCAUCAGCCAUAAGGUCACUGAAGAGGACCAACAGUGAUAGGGGGAUUGUCUGAAAGGUACUGACAUGCAGGGAUAAUAACAUAAGGAUUUUGGGCACUGGCCAGCAGACCAAGAUUUCUACAUUCAGGUCCUACAUCUGUGGCAUGCAAUGUUUAUAAAGAAACAUUUUCAAUAAAGAGGUCACAACAUUCAUUAUGCUAUUAUAUGCUAGUUUUUUAAAAGUUUUUUUUAUACUUGUAAGGAGGGUAAUGUGCAUUGUACAUGUAACUACAGUCGGUGGUUAUCUAUACUGAAAAAAAAUCUAAACGCAACAUGUAAAGUGUUGGUCCCAUGUUUCAUGAGCUGAAAUUAAAGAUCCUUGAAAAGGUUAUUUCCCUCAAAUGUUGUGCACAAAUUUGUUUACACCUUGUGUUGGAGAAAAUAAAAGGCCACUAAAAUGUGCAGUUUGUCACACAACGCCACAGAUGUCUCAAGUUGAGAGAGCCUGCAAUUGGCAUGUUGAAUACAGGAAUGUCCACCAGAGCUGUUGCCAGAUAAUUCAAUGUUAAUUUCUCUACCAUAAGCCGACUCUAACGUCUUUAGAAAAU
ensembl:lncRNA